CAUUCUCUGGUGUUGAAGGCCCUGCAAAGCAGCAUCGCGGUGGCGGAGCGUCGUUUGCGACGCCCAACACACAAAACAAGCGGUGAGUGCUUUGGGGUGGGGUGACUGCGUACCUUUUGUAUAAUGGGUCAGCGACUUAUAUUCUGUAGCAAGGUUAACCGAAUAGGGGAGCCGUAGGGAAACCGAGUCUUAACCGGGCGUUAAGUUGCAGGGUAUAGACCCGAAACCCGGUGAUCUAGCCAUGGGCAGGUUGAAGGUUGGGUAACACUAACUGGAGGACCGAACCGACUAAUGUUGAAAAAUUAGCGGAUGACCUGUGGCUGGGGGUGAAAGGCCAAUCAAACCGGGAGAUAGCUGGUUCUCCCCGAAAGCUAUUUAGGUAGCGCCUCGUGAAUUCAUCUCCGGGGGUAGAGCACUGUUUCGGCUAGGGGGCCAUCCCGGCUUACCAACCCGAUGCAAACUGCGAAUACCGGAGAAUGUUAUCACGGGAGACACACGGCGGGUGCUAACGUCCGUCGUGAAGAGGGAAACAACCCAGACCGCCAGCUAAGGUCCCAAAGUCAUGGUUAAGUGGGAAACGAUGUGGGAAGGCCCAGACAGCCAGGAUGUUGGCUUAGAAGCAGCCAUCAUUUAAAGAAAGCGUAAUAGCUCACUGGUCGAGUCGGCCUGCGCGGAAGAUGUAACGGGGCUAAACCAU
rnacentral:rRNA from 1 species